rnacentral:tRNA from 1 species
GGUGAGGUGUCAGAGUGGCUGAAUGAGAACGCCUGGAAAGUGUGUAUACGGAAACGUAUCGGGGGUUCGAAUCCCCCCCUAACCGCCA